rnacentral:rRNA from 1 species
GCCUAACACAUGCAAGUCGAGCGGCAGCGCGAUAUGUAGCAAUACAUAUUGGCGGCGAGCGGCGGACGGGUGAGGAACACGUAGGAACCUACCCUCGAGUGGGGGAUAACCAAGGGAAACUUUGGCUAAUACCGCAUGAUUUCGAGAGAGCAAAGCUGCCGCAAGGUGGCGCUCGAGGAGGGGCCUGCGUCCGAUUAGCUAGUUGGUGAGGUAAGAGCUCACCAAGGCGAUGAACGGUAACUGGUCUGAGAGGACGACCAGUCACACUGGGACUGGGACACGGCCCAGACUCCUACGGGAGGCAGCAGUGGGGAAUAUUGGACAAUGGGGGCAACCCUGAUCCAGCGAUGCCGCGUGAGUGAAGAAGGCCUUCGGGUCGUAAAGCUCUUUAGGUUGGGAAGAAGAGUGAUGGAGGAAAUGCUAUCACUUUGACGGUACCGACAGAAUAAGCACCGGCAAACUCUGUGCCAGCAGCCGCCGUAAUAC